rnacentral:lncRNA from 1 species
CAGAACCUUCAUCCUGUAUAAAGAGUUAGACCGCACUCUUUAUGCUGUAAAUGCAUCUCAUCAUUAUAAAAUACAACAUCUCGAUUCAUUAAUCAAAUUGAAUGAAUCAUUUAAAUUUUUUAAACAAAUUGAAAAUUACACAAAAAAAAAAAGGAAAACCAUGGUGCGGUCAUCAUUCAAUAUUGAAACUGAGAAUUAUUCAUAUGAAAAAAAGCACGUUCUUUUCGACUCCCAG